rnacentral:lncRNA from 1 species
AUCAGCCUGGCUGACAGGAGCCCGCCAAAGGAUUAAAAAAAAACAAAACCCAAAACAUAAAAUCAUGCAAAAAAAUAUUUACCCCCGAAAGAUGUAUGUAGUUAAAGCUCAGCUUCCUGCAGCCUCGAUAGCCCCUGAAGUGUUAAUCUGAAGAAACAGUUCCAUGAGUUUCCACAGGCCGGUAGUGAGUCUCCUACACUUGACCUAGACAGACUUACAUAAUGAAGCAUCAGUGCUGGGGAGCUUGCACGAUGUCAUCACCAGCAAGAGUAAGAAGUAUUGGCAGCAGCAAGCAGGCGGGCAGGCUGAGAUCUUGCAUGGAAAUCAUGAACCAGGUCUUGCUUUUCGUUUUUGAAACGUUUUGGAAGGAGAGUUAUGAAUAGCCCAGAAAUAGGUCUCAUUUUGUGGGUAGGAAGAAUGACCAGAAGCAUGAAAGCUAAAUCUCCUGGCAAGUGCAGGGGACCUCUCUUGGAGUGUGCAGUAAACCCGAGGGGACGACUUCUCCUGCUGUCAACUCCUGAACCAUCACAUCUGGAGUGAAGGAAGGGGCUGGUGAAGCCUUGUAAUAAAUGCAAAGGAUGCUGCUGAGAGCUUUGGUCUGCCUUUAACUCAUUGUGGCAAAGUUGGACAUCCCAAAGAUGGCGUAGAUGAACAUGACGAGGAAAAGCAGGAGGCCGAUGUUGAACAGCGCAGGAAGGGACAUCAUCAGAGCAAAGAGCAGCGUGCGGAUCCCCUUGGCGCCUUUGAUCAGGCGUAGGAUUCGUCCAAUCCUGGCCAGGCGAAUGACUCGGAACAGGAUGCUACUCCCAGUCUUCACUGAGAAACUGCUCUAGCCAGUGAACGACAGUGAAUGAAGAAAUGCCUGGCUGCUCGAGACACCGAGAGUGACAGCUGCGUGCUCAGCUCAGGAGGACGUUCAUAUCCUUCUUCAAGGCUCUAGGAACAAAGCGUGGUGAUGACAGGAAGACAGUAAGAGCCCAGGACAUAGGGAUGGGAGCUAUGAAGCUCUGUGCUGUACCAAGGACACAAUCAAUGUAAUCGCGGCACCAUAACAGAGGUCAGCAGUGGGUUCGUGCAAUACUGAGCGGGUCAGCAUUCAUUCAUUCAUAUACAGAGAGGGCCCAUGCAGCCACAUCUUCUCUGCUGAAUUAUGAGCUACCGAUGGAUUGUGGGAGAAACAAACAUUCUCUUCAGCCUUGGGCCCACUUCUGAGUUCACUAGGUUAAAGUGAGUAGUCGCUAAUCCAUGGACACAGACGGCCCUGAUUAAACGCAGUGGGUUAGGAAAAAAAGGAAAGAAAAAAAACAUGGCCGUGGGAAAGGGACUAGAAAGGGGAGGGGUUAUCAGGUAAGAGAAGGCUAGGGUGGCAGCAAUCAGAAUGGACUAUCUAUGAAGUUGUCUAAAGCUGAAAAUGUGCACACAGUUCUUAUAUGCUUAUUAACGGAAUGCUGAAGCACAUCUAGGCAAUAGGCAUGUAAUCGACAUCUCAGACCUUCUGUUAGGAAACUGGGAGCCUGACAUAUACAGAGGUAGAUACUUUCAGCCAACCAUUGGACUGAGCAUGGGUCCCGCAAUGGAGGAGUUAGAGAAAGGACUGAAGGAACUGAAGGGAUUUGCAACCCCAUAGAAAGAACGGCAAUAAUCAACCAACCAGAGCUCCCAGGGACUAAACCACCAGCCAAAGAGUACACAUGGAGGGACCCAUGACUCCAGCCGCCUAUGUAGCAGAGGAUGGCCUUGUCAGGCAUCAAUGGGAGGAGAGGCCCUUGAUCCUUGGGCUUCGCUCGAUGCCCCAGUGUAGGGGAAUGCCAGGGCAGGGGGGCAGGAGUGGAUGGGCGUGUGGGGGAGCACCCUCACCAUAGCAGGGGCAGGGAAGACGAGAUAGGGGCUUCUGGGGGAGGAAACUGGGAAAGGGAAUAACAUUUGAAGGGUAAAUAAAGAAAGUAUCAAAAAAGAGAGAGAGAGAGGAGAGAGAGAGAACAGAAAAGAUAAGAUAAGAAAAGGAAAGAGAAAAGAGAAAAGAGAAAAGAGAAAAGAGAAAAGAGAAACGAGAAAAGAGAAAAGAGAAAAGAGAAAAGAGAAAAGAGAAAAAAACUGGGAGAUUGCUGUGUGAGGCUAGUUUUGAGCUCAUUCCUUCAAGCAUAUUAGAAAAAGAUGAAUACUAUUUAUGUAGAAAACAGAACGUGCUUCUUGGCCUUUCAGCCCAGAACAAGAAGAAUCUCCGUGGAAAGACCUUUGUCCCACCUGCUUUGCCUUCGUGUUUGUAAUAAUAAAUACUACCUCGGCUUCUUCCUGCUCUUUUUUGAGUCGGUCUAACAUCUGCUGAAAUUCUAACUCUUUCUGUUUAGCUUCUUCGAUGUUGGCCUGGUUCUGUUCCUCGUACGCCAUGGCUACCACAGCCAGGAUCAAGUUUAUCAGGUAAAAGGAUCCCAGAAAUAUCACCACGACAAAGAAAAUCAUGUAGGUUUUGCCAGCAGCACGCAGUGUCUAUGGGGAGCAAAAAAGAGACAUGAUUAUUUUAGUAAUACAAAAAUUUCACUAAGGUUUUUAUUGCAGCUAGUAUAUAAUGAAUGUGCAAACCAGAUAUUUUUGUAUAAUUUUGUUGUAGAAAGAUAAAUAAAGAUAAUAUCUUUGAGGAAAAUCAGUAUUAAACAAACUUUUUAAUAUAAAAGAUACAGCAUUGUUAUAUGUACAUUAAGGCUUGAUUCUUCAUUAAAAUGAAAUAUAAUGAUAUAACAAUUCUUCAUUUUCCACAUUAUUUAAAUUAACACUAACUUUACCCCUCCCCCAAUGCUGUCUUUUAACUUUUUGAAACAGGCCCCUUUUUUGGUUAGAUUCUAUUCUUUCCUUUUAAAUGCAUAAAUAACCAUAUUACAUUUUGACCUAAACAGAUACCUUAUGUAAGAAAUUAAUC